rnacentral:lncRNA from 1 species
AAACAGAAGUGUGGUACUAUUGUUUUAUAGUCCUUGCCACUUCAAAGGACCAGUCUGUCUAGAAGACCCUCACAGCAGCCCCUAAGACAGUAUUCGAGAAUUCUUCCUCUAUAUGCCUUUUACAGAUAGUAUGAAAACAUCUCCACAUUGAAGAAAACCAGCACCAGCACAUGGCAAAGUGCUUGUGAAGGAUGGGGCAGAAGAAAGGAGCUGGUGACAUUUUCAGUGGUUUUGUUUGCGUCCAUCGAGUGAAGACAUGUGACUAGGUGUUGUUGCAGUCUGGUUUAAUAGUUAGGAAUAUGAACCCAGAGGAGGCACUGAAGGCCUUUCGGCCCCGGCUGGACUUGUCAUUGCAUGUGUUGCUCUCCACUUUCCCUUCGUAGCACUUUUCAGUUUGUAAUUGUAGCAGGAUGAUGUUCUCUUCUCCUGUACCUCUUCAUCCCUGUGAGUAUUAGCAUUCAUCCCAUCCUCACUUGUGAGUAUUAGCAAGAGAAAUUCAUCUCCUGUUGUGAGGUUCCACUUUCGCCUUCCAGAUGGAGCAAGGAACUCUGGUGGGAAGUGAUGGGGUGGAGUGGAUAAGAGAAGGGAACAAAGACAGGAGCCAGGAAUAAGAGACACCCAGGGGCCCAUCUAAGGUAGAGUUUGUGUGAGAUGAAAGACAAGCUAAUGGGGAAAGGGAAUAAACAUUUGGCAGC